GCCAGAAUCCACAGCUCUAAUGGUUUUUAGGGGAUCGUGUGGUUAUGAAAAUUUAGCCAUGGAGAUUAUAUUAAGGCUCUUUAAAAUGGAGAUGAUAGUCUUAUGUGUCAUCAGUUGUCUUGGUUGGUGUUUAAAUAACACCAUGAGCAAAUUAACCCUGACCGUAGAAACUUCAUCAUUUACGCUCUCAAGCUUAGUUCAAGAGUUAAUUCUUGUGUCCACAAGCCAGUCUUCUAUCUGCCCUGCUUAAGCAGAUGACACUUGGCUACAUGCAAAACAGCUCAAGUGAAAAAACGCAAAGAUGACGACUAUCAACACCCAGUUAGCACUUUUUUUUCCACGGCUCCAUAAAAAACGGUUCUCUUGGUUUUCAUAAGUGUAACAGCUCUUUGCUUUUCCAGAUCCAGAAAGUGAUGAAGAUUUCAGUGAGCCAUCUGAGAGUUAGGAUGAAGAAUUCACAGUGAGGAAACCCACAAAGACCAAAAAGAACAAAGUCUCCACCAAAGACAGAAUCAAACCAGAUCCCACUUCUGAAAAAGACAAACAACCGUCGAAACCAUCAAAGACGAAGCCUGAAGCAGCAGCUGCUUCCAAACCGGUAAAAAGUCUUCCAACAUCCAAACCAACACCCACCAGAUCUCCUUCCACAAAGCCUUCAUCCUCUCUGAGCCCAGCAGCGGGGAGAGUACCCAAGUGGAACCCACCAGCUCAGAUUGGUAAAAGCGCCUCAUCGUCACACAGUCCACCGGUGAAGUCACCCAGCCAGGAGCUGCGACUUGGACUGUCCCGCCUAGUCUGAGUCAACCGCUCCAUCCCAGCGUUGCAUGUCACUAACCCAUUAGGGGACAGCGCAUCAUGUGUACCAGGGACGGCCAUUUUCUCUUAACACAAUUUUUAGAGAACAUUCUAAAAAUCGUUUUUGUCUUCCGGUUAUUUAUGACACAAGUCUCCAACUUGAACUAAAAUUUAAGAGCUUCAGGGAGGGGCUGCUAGGUUGUCCACACAGUCUGGUCCUCAGGAGUUAAUCCUCUAUUCUUUGUGUGAAUUAAACAAAACCCUUGUUGGUUUGUGAGGAAACUAAAAAUUGUUUCUCUUUUAAUACAAAUGUUUUUGCCUGUAAUUUUCAUAUCCUUAUAAAUUCUUCUGUUUUUCUUUUUACUUAUUGUUCAGCAAACUUUGCAUAUUAUGUACAUACAUCUCAAAUAAAAUUGGAAAAAAAAGGAGUUGUUUGGAAUGUCAUUUAAUGCAAAUA